AAUUGCAAUGAAUUUCAAAGACAACAUGUUAGGCUUUUGAAAAUGUAAUGUUAAACUUACCAUUUGAUUCAGAUUCUGCAGUCAGUUCUGAAAACCCUUGCUGUUUGGUUCAGCCCUGUUCAGCCCUUGCUUAUAGUGUGUUCUUGUUUUUCUUCAGGUGGCUUAGGUAGAAUUUUACAUACAGUAGCAACUCCUCUGCACUGUAAAUUUGUGUAUUCUAAACAAACAGCACUGAGUAGUGAAAGCUGAACCCUUUGUCAAGAAGCCUCUGUGAGUGUUGUGUUAUCUUUCCAGGAGAUGGAAGAAAUACCAGGCAUGUUCCAUCCUUUGCUGUGACUCCACCAGCUUUCAGUGGAGUGGCUUUAGGAAGACUCCUCUGGGCACCAGAAGCACUGGAUUCUUAUGAAAAGACGAGUGUUGGCUGGAGAUGGUGGGUUUUUGUUGCAGGAUAUGGGAGUCUGAUUCUGCCAGUAGUGGCAGCAUAGCUGUGAAUGUAUUUUUCCUCCCUUUCAUUUCUCCUAGUCUUUUUCUACCUGGCCUAUACGGACAGGAAAUUUUUCAGACCAGGAAUUGCUUCUUACUACAACUUUUCUACCAUGUAGACCACAGUGACGGUCUGUGGUGUCUUAGAUGCCAACAGGAAACAAUUAACAGCACUGAGGCUUUAAGCUAAUCAUGCCAUUUCUGUUGCAUAUUGUUUCAUAAAGACAAACAUUAGAUGAGCAGAUAAAUUUUGCUAACCUUUGCAGCCUGCACCAGCUGCACUGUGCACUGGUUCCACGCAUCAUGCUUUUUGACUCCAGACUGAAUUAAAUCCUGUAGUUUUGCUGCUGUGCUGCUUGUGAGCCUGAAAAAUUGAAAAAGCACAAAGCAUCUUGUAUCUGCAUCCCACGUGCAUGAAUUUGCACUCAGGAGUUAUGUGUGACUGAAGGGCUAACUGGUAUUUCUGACAUCUGGAGUUAUCUACACUUAGUAUGAGUGAACUUAGAUGAUGCAAAAUCUAAGUAUAAAUUGAGAGAAGAACCCAGACCACCCUGAUAUUGAAGGAUUUCUGCUUUCUCAGCUUCCAGGGUAGUUUACCAGGGGUUUAGCUGAGCUUUUCUUGGGCUGUGCAUCUGUAAGGAGAGUUUCCAAAACAAACAGGAAUACUGCUGUUACAUGAUGUUUCUCCUUUCCUACACAGGGAUUCAAAUCCUGUUCCCAUUGAUGAAGCUUUUUAAAGAGUGGCUGUUUUUACACUGCUUUCAAUGACAGCAGGGUUGUCUUUUUACCUCAUUUUCAGAGGUGACACCUAUACAGCCCAUAACAGUGUACAUAAUUCUGAGACCACUCAUGGUACCAUUUUUGUUUAUGUUGAGUUACUGAAUGUGUAGUUGAAAGGCUACAGACAGAAUGAGAGGCUCUGUUCUUGCUAUGGUGUAAACUGAAAAUAAACAUCACUUUCUCAGGUA